CCUAGAAAUGACGUUUCCCAGAAUCGUCAGCAAGAAGCGUGGAGGUGGCAAAGCAGUCCUGGAACCCGGAAAAUCUGUUACAUACUUCCUGUUGCUUUCAUUACGCCGACAGGAAGCGCAGGCGCACUCCCAGCCGUAAAGGCUCCGUUUCCGCGGCCCCGGCGAACCAGGGCUUGGUGGGAGUUGUGUUUCCGGUUACGGAGCAUGGAGGUGGAAAUCCUGUCAUGCAAGCCUAAGUGGGCAUUAGCGUGUGCGACACUGGGGAAUAGAGGUACGCACUGCUGCCCUGAAAGGAGGGUCCCCAGAAGGCCGCGCUCCAGCUCAGAGCGCGAGGGUCGAGGCGCAGCGCAGCCGGAUGUAGCCGCUGAAAGACUACAGUUCCCAUCACGUAAAGUUACACGCCGUGCUUUGAGGGGCUCUGGGCGGGUCGGCCAGGUGAUGACGUACGUCCUGUUACAGUCAGUGCGGUAGAGAGCACCGGAAAACGUGCACGUCAGCCCCAAAGGGACUACAUUUCCCAGAGGGGCUUGAGCCACCCGCGGCGAAACGUAAAUGAGUAGGCGGCAUACGGCUGCGUACCAUCCUGGCCAGUGUCGGGACGUACUUCCGGUGUUCGUGUUCGCGCAGGCAGGAAAUGAGCGACCCUCCUUCCUCUCUGCCGACUACAUUUCCCAGCGGGCACCGAAGGUGACGCGGAGCCAAUCCGGAGCGACGUUGGCUCUAGGGCCGGGAGGAAAGCUUUGUGUGAGAAGCCGCUGACCAGCAGGGGGCGCGGCCGGGUGUGAGCGCCGGAUCUGGCCCCGCUGGGCGACUGAGGCCGCGAAGGAGACCCCACUCUCCCGGGGCGACACGUUAAGCAGCCCCGAUUCUCAUGUUAGACCUGGGGAUGGAAGCUAAACCGGUGCACAUCACAGAGAAGUGUUCAUCACUUACUUAGAAGGCCAGUCCAGGAGCCAAGAAACGGAGAGUUUUGGGGAUGCCCGUUUGGGUGUCUCUGCGAACAGGCGUUCACUCGGCACCAGCGGGAUAACCAUCACAAUCAAGGCGUGGAAGUGCAUCUAAUUUUCUCCAGGUUCAUUGCUAUUAAUCCCAUGAACACUUCACAACCACUGUAUCCUGUAGCAGCAGUCAAGUGACGAUCACUGCUCUGUCCAAAGGAACAUGUAACGUCAUCUUGUCCAGUUCAAGAGUGAUAUUUCCUCUGGGCUGGAGAUGGCUCAGAGGUUAAGAGCACUGACUGCUCUU